rnacentral:rRNA from 1 species
AUUGAACGCUGGCGGCAUGCCUUACACAUGCAAGUCGAACGGAUUUUGGGGCUUGCUCCAAAGUUAGUGGCGAACGGGUGAGUAAAGCAUCGGAACGUACCCAGUCGUGGGGGAUAACGUAGCGAAAGUUACGCUAAUACCGCAUACGAUCUGAGGAUGAAAGCGGGGGACCUUCGGGCCUCGCGCGAUUGGAGCGGCCGAUGUCGGAUUAGCUAGUUGGUGAAGUAAAGGCCAACCAAGGCGACGAGCCGUAGCUGGUCUGAGAGGACGACCAGCCACACUGGGACUGAGACACGGCCCAGACUCCUACGGGAGGCAGCAGUGGGGAAUUUUGGACAAUGGGCGAAAGCCUGAUCCAGCCAUGCCGCGUGAGUGAAGAAGGCCUUCGGGUUGUAAAGCUCUUUCAGACGGAAAGAAAUCUCUCGGGUGAUUAUCCCGGGAGGAUGACGGUACCGUAAGAAGAAGCACCGGCUAACUACGUGCCAGCCGCCGCGGUAA